GAUGAACGCUGGCGGCGUGCCUAAUACAUGCAAGUCGAGCGAACGGACGAGAAGCUUGCUUUUCUGAUGUUAGCGGCGGACGGGUGAGUAACACGUGGAUAACCUACCUAUAAGACUGGGAUAACUUCGGGAAACCGGAGCUAAUACCGGAUAAUAUUUUGAACCGCAUGGUUCAAAAGUGAAAGACGGUCUUGCUGUCACUUAUAGAUGGAUCCGCGCUGCAUUAGCUAGUUGGUAAGGUAACGGCUUACCAAGGCAACGAUGCAUAGCCGACCUGAGAGGGUGAUCGGCCACACUGGAACUGAGACACGGUCCAGACUCCUACGGGAGGCAGCAGUAGGGAAUCUUCCGCAAUGGGCUAAAGCCUGACGGAGCAACGCCGCGUGAGUGAUGAAGGUCUUCGGAUCGUAAAACUCUGUUAUUAGGGAAGAACAUAUGUGUAAGUAACUGUGCACAUCUUGACGGCACCUAAUCAGAAAGCCACGGCUAACUACGUG
rnacentral:rRNA from 1 species